GACUCUUCGGAGGCGUUACACAGGUGCUGCAUGGCCGUCGUCAGCUCGUGUCGUGAGAUGUUUGGUUAAGUCCAGCAACGAGCGCAACCCCUGUUGCCAGUUACCAGCACGUGAAGGUGGGGACUCUGGCGAGACUGCCCAGAUCAACUGGGAGGAAGGUGGGGACGACGUCAGGUCAGUAUGGCCCUUAUGCCCAGGGCUGCACACGUACUACAAUGCCCAGUACAGAGGGGGCCGAAGCCGCGAGGCGGAGGAAAUCCUAAAAACUGGGCCCAGUUCGGACUGUAGGCUGCAACCCGCCUACACGAAGCCGGAAUCGCUAGUAAUGGCGCAUCAGCUACGGCGCCGUGAAUACGUUCCCGGGUCUUGUACACACCGCCCGUCACAUCAUGGAAGCCGGUCGCACCCGAAGUAUCUGAAGCCAACCGCAAGGAGGCAGGGUCCUAAGGUGAGACUGGUAACUGGGAUGAAGUCGUAACAAGGUAGCCGUAGGGGAACCUGCGGCUGGAU
rnacentral:rRNA from 1 species